AUUGAACGCUGGCGGCAUGCCUUACACAUGCAAGUCGAACGGCAGCACGGGUGCUUGCUCCUGGUGGCGAGUGGCGAACGGGUGAGUAAUACAUCGGAACAUGUCCUGUAGUGGGGGAUAGCCCGGCGAAAGCCGGAUUAAUACCGCAUACGAUCUACGGAUGAAAGCGGGGGACCUUGGGGCCUCGCGCUAUAGGGUUGGCCGAUGGCGGAUUAGCUAGUUGGUGGGGUAAAGGCCUACCAAGGCGACGAUCAGUAGCUGGUCUGAGAGGACGACCAGCCACACUGGGACUGAGACACGGCCCAGACUCCUACGGGAGGCAGCAGUGGGGAAUUUUGGACAAUGGGCGAAAGCCUGAUCCAGCAAUGCCGCGUGUGUGAAGAAGGCCUUCGGGUUGUAAAGCACUUUUGUCCGGAAAGAAAUCCUUGGCCCUAAUACGGUCGGGGGAUGACGGUACCGGAAGAAUAAGCACCGGCUAACUACGUG
rnacentral:rRNA from 1 species